rnacentral:rRNA from 1 species
UACGUAGGGUGCAAGCGUUGUCCGGAAUUAUUGGGCGUAAAGAGCUCGUAGGCGGUUUGUCGCGUCUGCCGUGAAAGUCCGGGGCUCAACUCCGGAUCUGCGGUGGGUACGGGCAGACUAGAGUGCAGUAGGGGAGACUGGAAUUCCUGGUGUAGCGGUGAAAUGCGCAGAUAUCAGGAGGAACACCGAUGGCGAAGGCAGGUCUCUGGGCUGUAACUGACGCUGAGGAGCGAAAGCGUGGGGAGCGAACAGG